rnacentral:rRNA from 1 species
AGUUAAGUGUUCUGCUAAGAGUCUUUGUCAGUUGUAGAAUCACUGGUGAAUAAGGGGUGGGCAAGUUCUGGUGUCAGCCGCCGCGGUAAAACCAGCACCUCGAGUGGUCCGGAGGUUUAUUGGGCCUAAAGCAUCCGUAGCCGGUUGCAUAAGUUUUCGGUUAAAUCUAUGCGCUUAACGUAUAGGCCGCCGAAAAUACUGUGCAGCUAGGGAGUGGGAGAGGUACACGGUACUCGAUAGGAAGGGGUAAAAUCCUUUGAUCUAUUGAUGACCACCUGUGGCGAAGGCGGUGUACCAGAACACGUUCGACGGUGAGGGAUGAAAGCUGGGGGAGCAAACCGGAUUAGAUACCCGGGUAGUCCCAGCUGUAAACGAUGCAGACUCGGUGAUGCAUUGGCUUGUGGCCAAUGCAGUGCCGCAGGGAAGCCGUUAAGUCUGCCGCCUGGGAAGUACGUACGCAAGUAUGAAACUUAAAGGAAUUGGCGGGGGAGCACCACAAGGGGUGAAGCCUGCGGUUCAAUUGGAGUCAACGCCAGAAAUCUUACCUGGGGAGACAGCAGAAUGAAGGUCAAGCUGAAGACUUUACCAGACACGCUGAGAGGUGGUGCAUGGCCGUCGCCAGCUCGCGCCGUGAGAUGUCCUGUUAAGUCAGGUAACGAGCGAGACCCCUGCGUCUAGUUGCUACCAUUACUCUCUGGAGCAGUGGAGCGAAUUAGACGGACCGCCACAGUUAAUGUGGAGGAAGGAAGGGGCCACGGCAGGUCAGUAUGCCCCGAAACCCUAGGGCUACACGCGGCUGCAAUGGUACCCACCAUGUGUUCCGAAUCCGAAAGGAGGAGGCAUCAUCAACAUAUCUCAGUUAUGACUGAGGGCUAACUCCCUCCGAAGACCUAACCGCGUGGUCCCG